AGAUUAUUUAAAACCAGUUGAAUUGAUAUUUUUAUAAUUUAUUGUUGUUCUGGUUUGUUCAGGAAAGACUGCUGUUCAAAAAUGAAGUUUUUGAUGGUAAUGCUUAUUUUAGUUGCCUUCGCAACAACAACAAUGGUUUCUGCAGAUGAUCAACCAAACCUUGAUGUAAGUUGUGAAGUAGAUUCUGACUGCGAAUCAGUGUGUUACGAUUUUGGAGGUGUCGAAGGCAGUUGUAUUGACAAUAUGUGUUAUUGUCAGUAGAAAGAUUCGAAAAAAUAAAACUUUUAAAAUGUGGUAAUAACCUAAUUUUAAAAUAUAUUUUUCACUGCA
rnacentral:misc_RNA from 1 species